UACGGGGGGGGUAAGCGUUGUUCGGAAUUACUGGGCGUAAAGGGCUCGUAGGCGGCCAACUAAGUCAUACGUGAAAUCCCUCGGCUUAACCGGGGAACUGCGUCUGAUACUGGAUGGCUUGAAUCCGGGAGAGGGAUGCGGAAUUCCAGGUGUAGCGGUGAAAUGCGCAGAUAUCAGGAAGAACACCCAUGGCGAAGGCAGGUCACUGGGCCGCAACUGACGCUGAGGAGCGAAAGCAUGGGGAGCGAACAGG
rnacentral:rRNA from 1 species